AUUGAACGCUGGCGGCAUGCCUUAUACAUGCAAGUCGAACGGCAGCAUGGAGAGCUUGCUCUCUGAUGGCGAGUGGCGAACGGGUGAGUAAUGCAUCGGAACGUACCGUGUAAUGGGGGAUAACGUAGCGAAAGUUACGCUAAUACCGCAUACGACCUGAGGGUGAAAGCAGGGGAUCGCAAGACCUUGCGUUAUACGAGCGGCCGAUGUCAGAUUAGCUAGUUGGUGAGGUAAAGGCCCACCAAGGCGACGAUCUGUAGCGGGUCUGAGAGGAUGCACCGCCACGCUGGGACUGAGAAACGGCCCAGACUCCUGCGGGAGGCAGCAGUGGGGAAUUUUGGACAAUGGGGGCAACCCUGAUCCAGCCAUGCCGCGUGAGUGAAGAAGGCCUUCGGGUUGUAAAGCUCUUUCGGCCGGGAAGAAAUCGCACAGGCUAAUACUCUGUGUGGAUGACGGUACCGGCAUAAGAAGCACCGGCUAACUACGUGCCAGCCGCCGCCGUAA
rnacentral:rRNA from 1 species